CUCUUGCCAGCUCUGGAGGGAGAAGGGCUAGCUAUCUGAGAGGAAGGUACCUGAACUGGAGCAGUGAUGGGGAAUAGGAUGUAUUGAAUAUGACAGUCCUAAAACUACAGUGAUGGUUUUAGAGAAGCGCAGAUUUAAAAAACCCCAACAAAAUAUGUAAGAGCAGGAGGCUACAUCUACCCUGAGCCCUGUUUCCUGCCACCAGUAUUCCCACUUCAGCCAGUGGAGGCUAUUCCCAGGAUUGUCUGCAGGUCCAAGCUCCGCUCUGGUUGGGAUUUGGCCUUAAUAUUUUGUAGCGUAUUCCAAUACAAAUAGAGAAACGAAUACUUGCGAUGUUUUACAUUGUUUGCAGAAAGCACGGAAGAUGGACGCUCACGGGGAAUGCAUUCUCAGGAACACUGGCGCGUUGAAAAGUAGAGGGUUUGAAAACACAGAUGCAAACUUUAUUCUUACUCCUAUGCAAAGCAGUAGCUGGAGAUCUCGGAAACCAGAACCACGAAAAGGAAAAGAGAGGCCCCCAACUAGAAGGGAGUCUCCUCUUCCUUGUUUAAGCAAUUCUCAUCACUACUUGUCGGCCGGGAAAGAUUUACAGCUAAUAAACCGCACCUCAAGGAACAGAGGGCGCCCCUAGAAAAUCAUGAGGGAGAGGGAGCAGAGCGGAUUUCGCAAGCAAGGUGCGGAGGGCAGAGCGCUGAGUCCGUUCCACCUUAAGGGAGGUUGCGGGCCGGCUUCCCUGCUCCCCGCCCGGAGCGCGCGUGAUAGGUGGCUGGGGCGCGGGGGGCGGGGCCUGGCAGCGCUCGCUAUAAAUAUUCAUGAGAGCGCGGCGCCCGGCCUGGCGCUGCCGGGGCCCGAGAGCGAGAAGUUGUGCAAAGGGCGCUGUGGCGGCCGAGACCCGGGUGGCUCCGCAGCGGCGCGGGGGGAUUACAGCGCCUGCGGCCGGACGUGCUGCUGCGGGCUCGGGGAAGCUCGCGCGGCUGCAGGGGCAGCGGGGACCCCCUCCCCCGGUGGUUCGGGCCGGCUGCUGGGGGCCGCGGGGAGCCCUCAGCCAUCUUGGCUGGGCACCGCGGGGACUGAAGGCGAAAGUUGCGGCGCCCGGCCGGGAGCGCGGCGGCCGCUGGAGCGGCGGAUGCAGCCCCCGAGCCGCCAGGAGAUGAGGCAGCGGCUGCGAAGCCUGCCCCGAGCGGACUGAGCGCGCCCGCCGCCGGCUCUAGGCGCAGGUCCCUGGACCCGGAGCGCUGCAGGGAGGCACUGACGGGGGCUGCUCGCGGGGCUCCCCCCUGCCCCGGCCAGGCGAGAAGAGGCGUCCCCGGGGCUGUGUCCUUCCCGGCCAGGCGAGCCCUGCCGAG